CUUUGUUUAAUCAUGAUAUAAAUAUAUUUUUCAUAUUCUAAAUGUGCUUUGUUUAAUCAUGAUAUAAAUAUAUUUUUCAUAUUCUAUUAGAUUUUUUUUUUUUGAACUUUUUAACACUUUUUUUGAGUGCCCAGGACUUGCUUAGUUAGGCCGGAUGAACCAGCCAAUUUACGAGUUAGUAUUGAGUAACCGCUAGGUUAACCAUUCUAGUUCAAUUUUUACUACACUAGUUUCAAUCCAUGCAAUUGUUGUAGCAAAUGUAUAUAGAGAUGAAUGAACAUUGUUUUGGAUCAAAUUUGCACAAAUACGAUAAAAAAAACAAUCACAA
rnacentral:lncRNA from 1 species